GUAGCUCAGUCGGAUAGAGUAUCGGUUUCCGAAACCGAAGGUCAUGGGUUCAAUUCCCAUC
rnacentral:tRNA from 1 species